AAUCGAACUCGGAUAUAGCUGGUUCUCCCCGAAAUAGGUUUAGGCCUAGCCUUUGAUGAUGCUACCUGGAGGUAGAGCACUGAAUAUGGAAUGGCGGCGUCUAGCUGUACUGACUGUAAUCAACCUCCGAAUGCCAGGCAAGUUAAUCAAGGAGUCAGUGUGUGGGUGAUAACGUUCAUACGCGAGAGAAAAUCAAUUCAGACCGUCAGCUAAGGUCCCUAAAUGUAUGUUAAGUGGAAAAGGAUGUAAGAUUGCACUAACAGCUAGGAGGUUGGCUCAGAAGCAGCCAUCCUUUAAAGAGUGCGUAAUAGCUCACUAGUCGAGUGGUCUUGCGCCGAAAAUGUACCGGGGCUUAAACAUACUACCGAAGCUACGGGUUUACACUUAUGUGUAAGCGGUAGGGGAGCGUUCUAAGGGCGCUGAAGAUAGAUCGUGAGGACUAUUGGAGCGCUUAGAAGUGAGAAUGCCGGUGUGAGUAACGUAAGGCUGGUGAGAAUCCAGCCCACCGAUCGACCAAGGGUUCCGGGGUAAAGUUCGUCUCCCCCGGGUUAGUCAGGACCUAAGGCGAGGCAGAAAUGCGUAGUCGAUGGACAACAGGUUUAUAUUCCUGUACUGCCUAUAAGACUGAUGGAGUGACGGAGAAAGCUAGGAAGGGCCAGUUAUUGGAUUCUGGUCUAAAUGCGUAGGUCAUUGCGUAGGAAAAUCCGCGACAAUGUUAAGACUGAAACAUGAUGGCGUCUGUUCCCUCGGGAACAUAAGUCUUCUGAAGCUAUGCUUCCAAGAAAAACUUCUAAAGAUAUCUUAUAGGUACCUGUACCAAGAACCAACACAGGUGGUCAAGGAGAGAAUCCUAAGGUGAGCGAGAGAACUAUGGUCAAGGAACUCGGCAAAAUGACCCCGUAACUUCGGAAUAAGGGGAGGUGCUUUCGGGCACCCGCAGUGAAUUGUCCCAGGCAACUGUUUACCAAAAACACAGGUCUCUGCUAAAGCGCAAGCUGAUGUAUAGGGGCUGACGCCUGCCCAGUGCUGGAAGGUUAAGAUGAUUUGUUAGCUGGACGUAAGUCGAUAACAGCGAAGCUUUGAUUUGAAGCCCCAGUGAACGGCGGCCGUAACUAUAACGGUCCUAAGGUAGCGAAAUUCCUUGUCAGGUAAGUUCUGACCCGCACGAAAGGCGUAAUGAUCUGGGAGCUGUCUCGACCAUAGACUCGGUGAAAUCUUAAUACCUGUGAAAAUGCAGGUUACCCGCGAUAGGACGGAAAGACCCCAUGGAGCUUUACUGUAGCUUGAUAUUGGAAUCAGAUAAUUUUUGUAGAGGAUAGGUGGUAGGCUUUGAAGUGUAGACGCCAGUUUACAUGGAGCCACCCUUGGAAUACCACCCUGAAGUUGUUUGAUUUCUAACUCGCACCCAUUAUCUGGGUGGAGGACAGUGUCUGGUGGGCAGUUUGACUGGGGCGGUCGCCUCCCAAAGAGUAACGGAGGCGCCCAAAGGUUCCCUCAGCAUGGAUGGAAAUCAUGCGAAGAGUGUAAUAGUAUAAGGGAGCUUGACUGUGAGACUUACAAGUCGAGCAGGUACGAAAGUAGGGUAUAGUGAUCAGGCGGUUGAAUAUGGAAUUGCCGUCGCUUAACGGAUAAAAGUUACCCUGGGGAUAACAGGCUGAUACCACCCAAUAGUUCACAUAGACGGUGGUGAUUGGCACCUCGAUGUCGGCUCGUCACAUCCUGGAGGUGGAUUCGCUUCCAAGGGUUGGGCUGUUCGCCCAUUAAAGUGGCACGCGAGCUGGGUUCAGAACGUCGCGAGACAGUUCGGUCCCUAUCCAUCGUGGGCGUAGGAAAAUUGAGAAGGGCUGUUCCUAGUACGAGAGGACCGGAAUGGACAUACCUCUGGUGUAUCUGUUGUAACGCCAGUUGCAGUGCAGAGUAGCUAUGUAUGGAAGGGAUAAUCGCUGAGAGCAUCUAAGCGAGAAGCCCUCUUCAAGAUGAGUUUUCCCAUAUUUUAUAUAGUAAGAUCCCUUGU
rnacentral:rRNA from 1 species